AACAUUAAUAAUUACCAAAAUAUUGUUAUUGUGAUAAAUGUAUAAAAAAUACAAUUUAUUUAUUAUUAUACUAAAUUCAAAUUAAAAAUGGUUUUGUGAAAUUUUUUUAGAGGAAAGCUAAAAAAACUGAGUGCUCCCGCACUUAUCUUCCCUCCUUGGGCAUAACUUUUCUCACGUUACUCCAUAACUAUUUUUUCAAAAAAAGUAGUUUCAGGUAAAUUCUAUCUCAAAGAAGGAACGAAUUCGAUAUAGGCUAUGAGCUUUGCGAUAACGGAAAUUGACAGGAUAUAUGAUGGGCUUCGACGAGGAUUCGGAUUGGGAGCAAAAAUUGUGGACCAAAGAGGUAAACAAUGUGGGAUCUAGGCUUACUCGAUUACAAUUGCGAGCCAGCUAGGUCUUCCGAAGAGAAGGUAUAUGAAGUGGUGCUUAAACAAGUUGUUCUGGUUCGAGAACAGAGGAAACACAAAGAGGCAAAUUUGGACUUGAAUCCACCCACCAUUCAAAUUGAUGGAACCACCAAUUGGGAUCUCUUGAAUGAAACUUAUGAAUUAUGAUUGUUGUGCUGAAGUCUGUGAUGAAUAUGCGCUAAGACUUUUUAUCUGGAAGUUUUGACAGCUACAAAGGCUAUUCCCCAAAAUGGAUCAUUUCUUUAGAGCCAAUUGUUUUUUUUUUCUCUUUCAUUUAUUGAUUUAUUUCAUCCAUGGAUCAGUACCCUUCCAAAUAAUAUGGCACUGAGAUGAUGGUAUGAUAUUCCUAGAUUUAAAUUACCCAAUUUACUAUCAUAUAUAGUUUAAUUGCAGCUGUAAUUAGUUUUGAACUAUUGUGAGAUCUUGAUUGUACAUUACUUCAAUGCAUAUGUUUAAUUUACUGAUUUUCAGAUGAGAUUUUAUAGUACUAUUAUAUUAUGUUUAACUUCUCUCACUACUGUAGAUCCCUCUCUAUUGCAAGACAAUGCAGAGUGUAACUUUCAUAAUGGCUAAAUUGUAGUGACAGCUAUGUAUUGCUUGAUUUUUAUAAUUUUCCUAUAAUUCUUUCUUGCACAUAACAUUUGAGGUUUUCGCAUGAAAAUUGGUAUUCCGUUGUCGAUAUGGGUUAUCCCCAAUCAGUAAGUGUUUAUUUUUUUCUUCAUUUUAUUGUUAUGUGUUCUUUAGAUAGAGAUUUGAGCUACAAAAUAUUUAGUAGAUAUAUUUUGAUUUUACUCAUUAAUCGAGAUACAAUUAUUACUAGCUUUUAUUUGUAGUGACAACUGAAAAUGAUGAUGUGUUAUUUGUAGUGGAAGGACUCUUCAACACCCUCCCUCGGGGUGAGCUGUGGUAUAGUGUUGCUUCAUUGAACCUUUGUAUUGU